UUGCUGACGAGUGGCGGACGGGUGAGUAAUGCUUGGGAAUAUGCCUUUACGUGGGGGACAACAGUUGGAAACGACUGCUAAUACCGCAUAAUGUCUUCGGACCAAAGCAGGGGACCUUCGGGCCUUGUGCGUAAAGAUUAGCCCAAGUGGGAUUAGCUAGUUGGUAAGGUAAUGGCUUACCAAGGCGACGAUCCCUAGCUGGUCUUAGAGGAUGACCAGCCACACUGGAACUGAGACACGGUCCAGACUCC
rnacentral:rRNA from 1 species